rnacentral:rRNA from 1 species
UUUCCGAAUGGGGAAACCCAGUGUGAUUCGUCACACUAUCAUUAACUGAAUCCAUAGGUUAAUGAGGCGAACCGGGGGAACUGAAACAUCUAAGUACCCCGAGGAAAAGAAAUCAACCGAGAUUCCCCCAGUAGCGGCGAGCGAACGGGGAGGAGCCCAGAGCCUGAAUCAGUGUGUGUGUUAGUGGAAGCGUCUGGAAAGGCGCGCGAUACAGGGUGACAGCCCCGUACACAAAAAUGCACAUGCUGUGAGCUCGAUGAGUAGGGCGGGACACGUGGUAUCCUGUCUGAAUAUGGGGGGACCAUCCUCCAAGGCUAAAUACUCCUGACUGACCGAUAGUGAACCAGUACCGUGAGGGAAAGGCGAAAAGAACCCCGGCGAGGGGAGUGAAAAAGAACCUGAAACCGUGUACGUACAAGCAGUGGGAGCACAGAGCAAUCUGUGUGACUGCGUACCUUUUGUAUAAUGGGUCAGCGACUUAUAUUCUGUAGCAAGGUUAACCGAAUAGGGGAGCCGAAGGGAAACCGAGUCUUAACUGGGCGUUAAGUUGCAGGGUAUAGACCCGAAACCCGGUGAUCUAGCCAUGGGCAGGUUGAAGGUUGGGUAACACUAACUGGAGGACCGAACCGACUAAUGUUGAAAAAUUAGCGGAUGACUUGUGGCUGGGGGUGAAAGGCCAAUCAAACCGGGAGAUAGCUGGUUCUCCCCGAAAGCUAUUUAGGUAGCGCCUCGUGAAUUCAUCUCCGGGGGUAGAGCACUGUUUCGGCAAGGGGGUCAUCCCGACUUACCAACCCGAUGCAAACUGCGAAUACCGGAGAAUGUUAUCACGGGAGACACACGGCGGGUGCUAACGUCCGUCGUGAAGAGGGAAACAACCCAGACCGCCAGCUAAGGUCCCAAAGUCAUGGUUAAGUGGGAAACGAUGUGGGAAGGCCCAGACAGCCAGGAUGUUGGCUUAGAAGCAGCCAUCAUUUAAAGAAAGCGUAAUAGCUCACUGGUCGAGUCGGCCUGCGCGGAAGAUGUAACGGGGCUAAACCAUGCACCGAAGCUGCGGCAGCGACACUAUGUGUUGUUGGGUAGGGGAGCGUUCUGUAAGCCUGUGAAGGUGUGCUGUGAGGCAUGCUGGAGGUAUCAGAAGUGCGAAUGCUGACAUAAGUAACGAUAAAGCGGGUGAAAAGCCCGCUCGCCGGAAGACCAAGGGUUCCUGUCCAACGUUAAUCGGGGCAGGGUGAGUCGACCCCUAAGGCGAGGCCGAAAGGCGUAGUCGAUGGGAAACAGGUUAAUAUUCCUGUACUUGGUGUUACUGCGAAGGGGGGACGGAGAAGGCUAUGUUGGCCGGGCGACGGUUGUCCCGGUUUAAGCGUGUAGGCUGGUUUUCCAGGCAAAUCCGGAAAAUCAAGGCUGAGGCGUGAUGACGAGGCACUACGGUGCUGAAGCAACAAAUGCCCUGCUUCCAGGAAAAGCCUCUAAGCAUCAGGUAACAUCAAAUCGUACCCCAAACCGACACAGGUGGUCAGGUAGAGAAUACCAAGGCGCUUGAGAGAACUCGGGUGAAGGAACUAGGCAAAAUGGUGCCGUAACUUCGGGAGAAGGCACGCUGAUAUGUAGGUGAAGCGACUUGCUCGUGGAGCUGAAAUCAGUCGAAGAUACCAGCUGGCUGCAACUGUUUAUUAAAAACACAGCACUGUGCAAACACGAAAGUGGACGUAUACGGUGUGACGCCUGCCCGGUGC